rnacentral:rRNA from 1 species
GAUGAACGCUAGCGGAAGGCUUAAUACAUGCAAGUCGAGGGGUAACGAUGGACUUCGGUCCAGGCGACGACCGGCGCACGGGUGAGUAACGCGUACACGACCUACCUUUAACUGGAGGAUAGCCCUGGGAAACUGGGAUUAAUACUGCAUAAUAUUGCUGAAAUAAGAGUUUGGCAAUCAAAGCUCAGGCGGUUAAAGAUGGGUGUGCGUUCCAUUAGCUAGUUGGUAAGGUAACGGCUUACCAAGGCGACGAUGGGUAGGGGGCGUGAGAGCGUGGUCCCCCACACGGGUACUGAGACACGGACCCGACUCCUACGGGAGGCAGCAGUAAGGAAUAUUGGACAAUGGGCGCAAGCCUGAUCCAGCCAUUCCGCGUGCAGGAUGACGGCCCUAUGGGUUGUAAACUGCUUUUAGAUGGGAAGAAACCCCUAGAUUUAUCUGGGGCUGACGGUACCAUCAGAAUAAGCACCGGCUAACUCCG